GACCUAGAAAAACUAAUGCUCACAUAUAAGUAUUUUAAAAAUACGAAAAAUCUGUGAUGAAUUGGCCUUUUUGUCGUAUUGGUUCCUAGCUCUGGUGCAGCACUCUGGGCGGGACUGACCAGCUACGUGCCGAAAGCGCAGUCUGUUGUAGACUGCAUCCAGAAAAUCCUUAACCACCUGUUAAGGGCCUGUUAAAGCUAUCAGUUCACCCCAAGUCAGCACUUGGAGAUAGGACUAGGGUGUGUCCUGUAAGGUGGUGGGUGGGACACAGGCCACACCCUAGGUUGCCGAAAAAAAAAAAAAAACGACGACGAACUUAAAAAAAAACAACAAAAAAUACCCAAAAUGAAAUCUGAAAUAGUUAAAUUCAUAAUGACACAGUCAAAAACAUUUCUAAAUGACCUAGCAAAACUAAUGCCCACAUAUAAGUAUUUUAAAAUACAAAAACUGUAGUAAAUUGGCCUUUUUGUCGUAUUGGUUCCUAGCUCUGGUGCAGCACUCUGGGCGGGACUGACCAGCUACGUGCCGAAAGCGCAGUCUGUUGUAGACUGCAUCCAGAAAACCCUUAACCUCCUGUUAAGGGCCUGUUAAAGCUAUCAGUUCACCCCAAGUCAGCACUUGGAGAUAGGACUAGGGUGUGUCCUGUAAGGUGGUGGGUGGGACACAGGCCACACCCUAGGUUGCCGAAAAAAAAAAAAACGACGACGAACUUAAAAAAAACAACAAAAAAUACCCAAAAUGAAAUCUGAAAUAGUUAAAUUCAUAAUGACACAGUCAAAAACAUUUCUAAAUGACCUAGCAAAACUAAUGCCCACAUAUAAGUAUUUUAAAAUACAAAAACUGUAGUAAAUUGGCCUUUUUGUCGUAUUGGUUCCUAGCUCUGGUGCAGCACUCUGGGCGGGACUGACCAGCUACGUGCCGAAAGCGCAGUCUGUUGUAGACUGCAUCCAGAAAACCCUUAACCACCUGUUAAGGGCCUGUUAAAGCUAUCAGUUCACCCCAAGUCAGCACUUGGACAUAGGACUAGGGUGUGUCCUGUAAGGUGGUGGGUGGGACACAGGCCACACCCUAGGUUGCCGAAAAAAAAAAAACGACGACGAACUUAAAAAAAACAACAAAAAAUACCCAAAAUGAAAUCUGAAAUAGUUAAAUUCAUAAUGACACUGUCAAAAACAUUUCUAAAUGACCUAGCAAAACUAAUGCCCACAUAUAAGUAUUUUAAAAUACAAAAACUGUAGUAAAUUGGCCUUUUUGUCGUAUUGGUUCCUAGCUCUGGUGCAGCACUCUGGGCGGGACUGACCAGCUACGUGCCGAAAGCGCAGUCUGUUGUAGACUGCAUCCAGAAAACCCUUAACCGCCUGUUAAGGGCCUGUUAAAGCUAUCAGUUCACCCCAAGUCAGCACUUGGAGAUAGGACUAGGGUGUGUCCUGUAAGGUGGUGGGUGGGACACAGGCCACACCCUAGGUUGCCAAAAAAAAAAAAAAACGGUGACGAACUAAAAAAAAAAAAGCUAACUGAAAUCUGAAAUAGUUAAAUUCAUAAUGAAACACAGUCAAAAACAUUUCUAAAUGACGUAGCAAAACUAAUGCCCAGAUAUAAUUAUUUUAAAAAUACGAAAAAUCUGUGAUGAAUUGGCCUUUUUGUCGUAUUGGUUCCUAGCUCUGGUGCAGCACUCUGGGCGGGACUGACCAGCUACGUGCCGAAAGCGCAGUCUGUUGUAGACUGCAUCCAGAAAACCCUUAACCGCCUGUUAAGGGCCUGUUAAAGCUAUCAGUUCACCCCAAGUCAGCACUUGGAGAUAGGACUAGGGUGUGUCCUGUAAGGUGGUGGGUGGGACACAGGCCACACCCUAGGUUGCCAAAAAAAAAAAAACGACGACGAACUUAAAAAAACAACAACAAAAAAACCCAAAAUGAAAUCUGAAAUAGUUAAAUUCAUAAUGAAACACAGUCAAAAACAUUUCUAAAUGACGUAGCAAAACUAAUGCCCAGAUAUAAUUAUUUAAAAAAUAUGAAGUCUGUGAUGAAUUGGCCUUUUUGUCGUAUUGGUUCCUAGCUCUGGUGCAGCACUCUGGGCGGGACUGACCAGCUACAUGCCGAAAGCGCAGUCUGUUGUAGACUGCAUCCAGAAAAUCCUUAACCACCUGUUAAGGGCCUGUUAAAGCUAUCAGUUCACCCCAAGUCAGCACUUGGAGAUAGGACUAGGGUGUGUCCUGUAAGGUGGUGGGUGGGACACAGGCCACACCCUAGGUUGCCGAAAAAAAAAAAACGACGACGAACUUAAAAAAAACAACAAAAAAUACCCAAAAUGAAAUCUGAAAUAGUUAAAUUCAUAAUGACACUGUCAAAAACAUUUCUAAAUGACCUAGCAAAACUAAUGCCCACAUAUAAGUAUUUUAAAAUACAAAAACUGUAGUAAAUUGGCCUUUUUGUCGUAUUGGUUCCUAGCUCUGGUGCAGCACUCUGGGCGGGACUGACCAGCUACGUGCCGAAAGCGCAGUCUGUUGUAGACUGCAUCCAGAAAACCCUUAACCGCCUGUUAAGGGCCUGUCAAAGCUAUCAGUUCACCCCAAGUCAGCACUUGGAGAUAGGACUAGGGUGUGUCCUGUAAGGUGGUGGGUGGGACACAGGCCACACCCUAGGUUGCCGAAAAAAAAAAAAAAACGACGACGAACUUAAAAAAAAACAACAAAAA